rnacentral:lncRNA from 10 species
CGAAUUUAAGUAUUAAAUGGAUCUUCCAAGGUUUAUGAGAGGAAGUCCCUGACAAGAAUGUACAGAUACACCCCAGAUGACAAACAGAACCUAUUCUCCUUAGCCUUGUUCUAGAAAGCCAGGGAAAUGGGUGAACAAUGAUUAUCUGGAGAUAAAGAAGAUCAAUAUUGAUUAAGUGUUGAUUGUGCAUCAGGCAUUAAGCAUACCUUAGGCUGUUUAUUUUUAUAGGGAUAAAAACUCUACUUGUCAAUUGGACGUUUGUAUGUAAAAAGUGAACCUUGAACAAUACCUCACAUCAUAUACAAAAAUUAACUCAAAAUGGAUAAUAGACCUAAAUAUACUUUCCAAAGCAUUAAAACUUCUAGAAGUUUGUGACUCUGGAUAAGAAAAAGAUACCUUAGAUCAGAUGCAAUAUGGUAAGCCAUUAAAAAAAAAAGAUAAAUUAGACUUCACAAAAACUUAGAACUUUUACUCUUCAAAACAAACUGUAAGGAAAAUAGAGAAACCACAGAUCCAGAGAAAAUAUUUGCAAAACACAUAUACUAAAGGAUUUGCAUCCAGAAUAGAUAAAGAACUCUCAUUACUGAAUAAUAAUAAAACAACUAAAAAAUGAGCGAAAGAUUUAAACAGACACUUGGCUAAAAAAGAUAUAUGGAUGGCAAAUAAGAUGUUCAACAUCGUUAAUCAUUGGGAAAAUGCAAAUUAAACCACAAUGAGGUGGCACUACACAUCUAUUAGAAUGGCUUUUAAAAAAUCAUCUGGCAAUAAUACAUGCUGACAAACACGUGGAGCAUCUAGGACUCUCAUUCAUGGCUUGUAGGAAUGGAAAAUAAUACUGCUACCACAGAAAACAGUUUGGCAGUUUCGUAUAAAGUUAUAUAUACACUUACUAUUAAUCAUAAAUCCCACUACUAGAUAUUUACCCAAGGGAAAAUGAAAACAUAAGUCCACAUAAAGUGCUGUGGACCUAAACUGAAAACAACUCAGAUGACCAUCAACUGGUGAACAGAAUUUAAAAAUAUAUGUGAUGUAUUCAUACAAUAGAAUACUACUCAGUGAUACCAAAGAAUAAACCACUUACAUAUGCAACAGCAUGGAUAAAUCUAAAAGCAUUCUGCUAAGUGAAAGGAAGUCUUCUCAAAGGCUAUAUCGUGUAUGUUUCUAUUUAUGUGGUAUUUUGGAAAAGGCAAAGCUACAGGAUCAGACGUCAGAAAAGCAGCUGCCUGAGGCUAAGUUGGAGGGUGGAGAUUGACUACACAGGGGUAUAAUGGAACUUGUGAGGAUGAUGGAAAUAUCCUGUAUCUUGAUGACGGUUACAGCACUGUACGAGUUUGUCAAAACAUAUAGACAGCACAUUUAAAAGGGCUGAAUUUUGCCAUAUGUAAGUUAUAUGUGAUGUUAACAAUAGGUAAAGUCAUAAAAGCUAAACAGACCCCUCCAAGGUAGUUACUACAAGCUCUGCUUUACUGGCAGAGUAAGGGAAAGGAGAAUGUGAGGGUGGCUCUGGGUUACCCUGCACUGCACUGACUGCAGCCCCUCUUAAAUUUAAUAUACAUGGUACUAAAGUCAACACCCAAAGUUCAGAUCCAAUUGUUUAUCCAAUUGAUUAGCCUGUGGCAUCUUCCUAUUGCUCACAACAUCAGAAUCUUUGGCAUGACCUUUAUGUUUCUUAUUUAUCUGGCCCCCACCAACUCUUCCAGGCUCUCCCUGUGAUCCUUCUCCCCAUCACUCAGGAACUUUCUGUGUGUUGAAGGCCUUGAGCCUUCCCAAAUAUGCUGCCCCGCACUUGCAUGUGUCCUUAAUGUCAUUCAUGCUUCACCUUCUGCCCAAAAUACCAUUCCCUGACUCUGAUUAACCAAACCCCAGUUGCUUGCUUUUUUUUUUAAUUUAAAAAACCCCUCAUUUAUUUAUUCAUUUAAAAAAUAUUUGUUAAAUGUCCACUGAGUGUUUGACUCUGUGAACAUAAGUUAGGAACCAAAAAGUUUUCCUGGAUAAUUCCAAAGUUAAUCCUUCCCUCCCCUUUUCUCAGCAAUUUGCUCAUAUUACUCUCAUAGUGGUUACUAUAUUGUAUCAUAAUUAAUUCCUUAAGUGUGACUCUGUGAACUCCUUGAGGACAGGGACUAUAUCUAAUUUAUCAGGACAUCAGAAACAGAAAGUGAUGUAAUGGAAAGCUUGUCAGGUUGGUUUGGUAUCAUACACAUUCUGGUUAUAUGGUCAGCUCCAUCACAUCUUGAUUAUUACUUUGGCAAGUAGUCAACUCUUUGAACCCCAGUUUCUUCAUCUGUAAAAUGGGACUAAUAGUAUUGUGAUGAUUGAAUGAGUGCAUGGUAUAUAAUAGGUGCUCAACAAGGUUAACUAUUGUUAUUCUUAUUCUUAUUCUUAUUUUUUGAGACAGAGUUUCGCUCUUGUUGCCCAGGUUGGAGUGCAGUGGUGUGAUCUCGGCUCACUGCAACCUCCGCCUUCCGGUUUCAAGUGAUUCUCCUGCCUCAGCCUCCUGAGUAGCUGAGAUUACAGGGGCCCGCCACCACACCCAGCUAAUUUUUGUAUUUUUAGUAGAGAUGGGGUUUCACCAUGUUGGCCAGGCUGGUCUUGAACUCCUGACCUUGUGAUCUGCCUACCUCAGCCUCCUAAAGUGCUGGGAUUACAGGUGUGAGCCACUGCACCCGGCCCCAACUAUUGUUACUAUUAUAUUGCACGAUAUUAUUAAUAUCCACCUUACAUAUGCCUCACCUAAGCCCAUAGAAGCUGCUCAAUAAAUGCUUAAUAAAUGAGUAGUUAGAGAGAGAUUUGGAAACGCUAUUCCAGACAGUCAUUAUCUUACCUGGCUUCUUACAAGUCACAUAGACGUAAAGGAAGAAUUCAAUGACAUAGGUGAUGACAGCUGCCCACCAGUUGAUGACAAACAUGACUGCACAGCACAAAACAGCUCCAAAAAGAGAUACCCACAUGUUGUAAAUUCCAUACGCAGGUCUCCAUCCUGAAAACAAAAUAUGCAGAAGGAAAACUUCCACUCUACUAUGAUCAUGGCACUGAAUAUUAGAAGAAUGCAGCUUUGUCUUCUAGGCUUUCCAG